GAUGAACGCUGGCGGCGUGCCUAAUACAUGCAAGUCGAGCGAACAGAUGAGAAGCUUGCUUCUCUGAUGUUAGCGGCGGACGGGUGAGUAACACGUGGGUAACCUACCUAUAAGACUGGGAUAACUCCGGGAAACCGGGGCUAAUACCGGAUAAUAUAUUGAACCGCAUGGUUCAAUGUUGAAAGACGGUUUCGGCUGUCACUUAUAGAUGGACCCGCGCCGUAUUAGCUAGUUGGUAAGGUAACGGCUUACCAAGGCAACGAUACGUAGCCGACCUGAGAGGGUGAUCGGCCACACUGGAACUGAGACACGGUCCAGACUCCUACGGGAGGCAGCAGUAGGGAAUCUUCCGCAAUGGGCGAAAGCCUGACGGAGCAACGCCGCGUGAGUGAUGAAGGUCUUAGGAUCGUAAAACUCUGUUGUUAGGGAAGAACAAAUUUGUUAGUAACUGAACAAGUCUUGACGGUACCUAACCAGAAAGCCACGGCUAACUACGUGCCAGCAGCCGCGGUAAUACGUAGGUGGCAAGCGUUAUCCGGAAUUAUUGGGCGUAAAGCGCGCGUAGGCGGUUUCUUAAGUCUGAUGUGAAAGCCCACGGCUCAACCGUGGAGGGUCAUUGGAAACUGGGGAACUUGAGUGCAGAAGAGGAGAGUGGAAUUCCAUGUGUAGCGGUGAAAUGCGCAGAGAUAUGGAGGAACACCAGUGGCGAAGGCGGCUCUCUGGUCUGUAACUGACGCUGAUGUGCGAAAGCGUGGGGAUCAAACAGGAUUAGAUACCCUGGUAGUCCACGCCGUAAACGAUGAGUGCUAAGUGUUAGGGGGUUUCCGCCCCUUAGUGCUGCAGCUAACGCAUUAAGCACUCCGCCUGGGGAGUACGACCGCAAGGUUGAAACUCAAAGGAAUUGACGGGGACCCGCACAAGCGGUGGAGCAUGUGGUUUAAUUAGAAGCAACGCGAAGAACCUUACCAAAUCUUGACAUCCUUUGAUCGCUCUAGAGAUAGAGUUUUCCCCUUCGGGGGACAAAGUGACAGGUGGUGCAUGGUUGUUGUCAGCUCGUGUCGUGAGAUGUUGGGUUAAGUCCCGCAACGAGCGCAACCCUUAAGCUUAGUUGCCAUCAUUAAGUUGGGCACUAUUAGGUUGACUGCCGGUGACAAACGGGAGGAAGGUGGG
rnacentral:rRNA from 1 species